GGAUGGGGAACAAAGGGGAUGCCCAAAGGGGAAGACAAGGAAAGCGCUGGGAGGUUUGUUUAGUAUAGUUUUACAAGCCCCAGGAUGGUUUUCACCAUACUAAUUACUAGUAUGCUGAAAACCAUCCUAGGCGGUACUUUGCUGUAAAGUGACAGGUGUGUGAUUGGCCAAUAGCCAGUUCGCCAACAACCGGAUAAAGAAUAAACUUCUACUUUAGUUUAAAAUACUAAUCACGACACUUUUUUAAACUUUUUAUUGUAGCUCACUAUCUAUAUUAUUUUAUUAUAUUUUUAUAGCUUAUAACAAACCAUCCGACCUAAUCUGCGCUGUAAGUCUUGUUUUAAGUAUUGUUUCAAGUGCAAGCGUCGCCAAUUUUAACGAGUAGCUUUUCUUCCCCUUUAGUUCCCCUAAAGGGGAUGAACUAAAGGGGAACCCCCUUCGUCCCCCCUUCUUCGUACCUUCGGGGAAGGUAACCCAGAGGAUACAAGGAAAGGGCUAGCCCCCUAACGUAGUUAAGCUAUGUUGUAG
rnacentral:lncRNA from 1 species